rnacentral:rRNA from 1 species
CCUACGGGGGGCAGCAGUGGGGAAUAUUGCACAAUGGGCGAAAGCCUGAUGCAGCAACGCCGCGUGAGCGAUGAAGGCCUUCGGGUCGUAAAGCUCUGUCCUCAAGGAAGAUAAUGACGGUACUUGAGGAGGAAGCCCCGGCUAACUACGUGCCAGCAGCCGCGGUAAUACGUAGGGGGCUAGCGUUAUCCGGAAUUACUGGGCGUAAAGGGUGCGUAGGUGGUUUCUUAAGUCAGAGGUGAAAGGCUACGGCUCAACCGUAGUAAGCCUUUGAAACUGGGGAACUUGAGUGCAGGAGAGGAGAG